rnacentral:rRNA from 1 species
UACGUAGGUGGCAAGCGUUUGUCCGGAAUUAUUGGGCGUAAAGCGCGCGCAGGCGGUCCUUUAAGUCUGAUGUGAAAGCCCACGGCUCAACUGAGGAAGUGCACCCGAAACUGGCGAGCUUGAGUACGAAAGAGGAUCGCGGAAUUCCCGGUGUAGAGGUGAAAUUCGUAGAUAUCAGGAGGAACACCGAUGGCGAAGGCAGGUCUCUGGGCCACUACUGACGCUGAGAAGCGAAAGCAUGGGGAGCGAACAGG